rnacentral:pre_miRNA from 1 species
AGUUUCCUUUUAAAUCUAGCCUCUACUAGGCUUUGUCUGUGCAUUCGAAAGCCGAUCAGACAUAGCCUAUAAGAGGUUAGGUGUACCAAGGUGAACA